UUCUUUUUGAGAUAACGCAGUGUGUAAAAGUAUACAAUUUACUAAGUCUAUUAGUCUCGUGAUGGCUACAAUAAAUUGUGAUUUUACAAUCACAAUAUAGUUUACAAUUAAUGUACAGUGCAAGCUACAUAUUCUGGGACAUUCUGUGAAUGGCUAAAAAUAACUCAUGAUUUUGCUCUCUUUUGCAACUUUUUUGCUAAAUUGUUUCCAUCCAGUGGGACAUUUUCAUGUCCAUUACAGGCACCUACACCUGUAGUAAGAUCAACUAUCAGGUAAAAGAUGGGAUUCAACAAGUUGAGCCCAGAUCUCUCUUGAAAAACGAGUUGUGGGAUCCAGGAAUUGAAUUUGGAUUCUCCAAGGAGGAAACAUAUCAUGCUUCCAUUAUGAUCAUCCAGACAAUCUUUUCCAGAAAUUAUGUAUUAAUUUAUAUCUUAUAUAUAUAAUUCUGUAAAAAAAUUUUAUUUUUAAUAUUAUAUCUUGU
rnacentral:lncRNA from 1 species